GGCGUACUGGAUUGACAAAAGGUGAAUAUUCCUGUACUACCCUUGUUAGUCUCGAGGGAAUGGAGAGGCUAGGUUACCUGAAAGAUGGUUAUCGGUUCAAGAACGCGAGAUGUCCCUACUUUUUCAGGAUAUGAAGGGUUAGAGAAAAUUCCUCGAGCAAAUGUUUGAAUACAAUGUGCAACAGAGCUGAAAUAACCCAUGCCAUACUCCAAGGAAAAGUUCAAACUAUGAUAAGCAAGAGGGAUCCUAUACCCGAAACUAACACAGGUUGGUAGGUAGAGAAUACCUAGGGGCGCUAGACAACUCUCUCAAAGGAACUCAGCAAAAUAGCCCCGUAACUUCGGGAGAAGGGGUGCCUCCUCACAAAGGGAGUCGAAGUGACCAGGCCCGGGCGACUGUUUACAAAAAAACACAAGUCACUGCAAAGUCGUAAUACCAUGUACGGGGGCUAACGCCUACCCAGUGCCAAAAGGUCAAGGAAGUUGGUAAGCUGAUGACAGGGGUGCGAACGACUGAAGCCCCGGUGAACGGCAGCCAUAAUAUAAUUGUCCUAAGGUAGCAAAAUUCCUUGUCAGGUAAGUUCUGACCUGCACGAAAGGCGUAACAAUCUGGGCAGUGUCUCAGAGAGAGGCUCGGUGAAAUAGACAUUUCUAUGUAGAUGCGGAGUACCUGCACCUGGACAUAAAGACCCUAUGAAGCAUCACUAUUCCUUGGGAUUGACUUUGAGCCUUUCCUGCAUCGGUUAUGUGGAAGGCGAAGAAGGCCUCCUUCCGGGGGGUCCGAGCAAUUAGUGAGAUACAAUUCUUGAAGGUUUAGAAUUCUAACCUUAUGUCAGGAGCUACGAGUCAAGGGACAGUCUCAGGUAGACGGUUUCAAUGGGGAGUUGGCCUUCAAAAAGGUAACGGAGGCGUGCAAAGGUUUCCUCGGGUCAUACAUUGAUUGGCCCUCGAGUGAAAAGACAGAAGGGAGCUUCACAGCAGUACUUACUUGUCGAUAAUGGAUGAUAGUCGGCCUUCGUGAUCCGACGGUGCCGAGUGGAAGGGUCGUUGCUCAAUAGAUAAAAUUUACUCUAGAUAUAACAGUCUGAUCUUCACAAGAUCUCACUUCGAUGGGAAGGUUUAGCACCUCGAUAAUAGAUCUUCGCCACCUAGGGCUAUACUAUGUUCCAAGGGUUGGGCUAUUCGCCCAUUAAAGCGGUACGUGAGCUAGGUUCAGAACGUCGUGAGACAGUUCGGUCCAUAUCCAUUGUUGGCGUUAUAGCAUUGAGAGGACCUUUCCCUAGUACGAGAGGACCGGGAAGUAUGCACCUUUUAUGUACCACUAAUCGUAACCACGGUAAAUAAUGGGUAGCAAAGUGCGGAAAGGAUAACUGUUUAAAGCAUCUAAGUAGGCCCACCCCAAGAUGAUUGCUUUCCAAACUUGACUUCCGCAGAGCUUUCGGUAGCACAGACGAGACAACGACGGGUUCUCUGCCCUUGCGGGGAUGGAGCGACAAAUGUUUUUUUGAGAAUUCUAGAGAAGGUCAAGGCAAGACGAGCCGUUUAUCAUUACAAUAGGUGUCAAGUGGAAGUGCAGUGAUGUAUACAACUGAGGCAUCUUAACAGACCAGUAGACUUGAACCU
rnacentral:rRNA from 1 species